AUGUGCCCUGACCUAGGCAGCAAAUCCCCCUCGGGAUCUGGGCAGGUGCUGCCGUUGCGCAGCGAAUCUGCCUCGGGAUCAGAACUCUACCGCGGAUCUGCUGCACAGAAUCCGACAGGCGCGGCGGACCCUGGCAGGCCGUGGGGACUCUCCUCGCGCGCACCAAUCGCCAGCGGACAGUUGGCGGGCCGGUGCUGGCCUGGACCGUUCACGGCCUCAGGCCCAACAGCUUGUUUACAAGCGGCGGGCUGUGACUCGCCCGACGAGUGCGGGGACAGAUCCUGCCGAAGUGGGGCCGGGGCAGAUCAACCUGAUCCGGGUAUGGGAUCUUCUGCGCCAGGGCUCUCUGCAGUGCAUCCUGCUACCACUUCACGUCGCACACGGCUACAACAAGGUCUGAUUAAACCCAUUGAUUAUAAACAUGUUGCAAAAUAUGGGAUGAUCUGUUCAACAGGUGAACCAGGAGAACCCAAUACUCUUGAAGAGGCCCUCGGUGAUGCACAUUGGAGAAAGGCAAUGCAUGAUGAAAUUGUGGCAUUAAGGAAAAAUAAAACAUGGCACCUGGUUCCUCCAAGACAAGGUAAAAAUCUUAUUGACUGCAAGUGGGUCUUUAGGAUAAAAAGAAAAGCUGAUGGAACUAUUGACCGCUACAAAGCCAGACUUGUUGCAAAGGGUUUUAAACAAAGGUAUGGUAUUGACUAUGAGGACACAUUUAGUCCAGUUGUUAAAGCAGCUACCAUACGCCUUGUCCUGUCCAUUGCUGUGUCUAGGGGAUGGAGUCUACGACAGCUAGACAUUCAGAACGCGUUUCUUCAUGGUGUUCUGGAAGAAGAGGUUUACAUGAAACAACCGCCUGGGUUUGUAAAUGCACAGGUACCACUUCAUGUGUGCAAACUUGACAAGGCUUUGUAUGGACUGAAAUAG
rnacentral:rRNA from 1 species